rnacentral:rRNA from 1 species
UAUCUUCCCUUUGGUGAGGAAUAACACGAGGAAACUUGUGCUAAUACCUCAUAAGUCUUUACAGAGAAAGCUUUAUGCGCCGAAGGAUGAGCCUGCACUUGAUUAGUUUGUUGGUGGGGUAAUGGCCUACCAAGACUUUGAUCAAUAGCUGAUCUGAGAGGAUGAUCAGCCACAUUGGGACUGAGACACGGCCCAAACUCCUACGGGAGGCAGCAGUAGGGAAUAUUGCACAAUGGAGGAAACUCUGAUGCAGCGAUGCCGCGUGAGUGAAGAAGGCCUUUGGGUUGUAAAGCUCUUUCGUCGGGGAAGAAAAUGACUGUACCCGAAUAAGAAGGUCCGGCUAACUUCGUGCCAGCAGCCGCGGUAAUACGAAGGGACCUAGCGU